UGGGAGUGGGAAAGAGGUGGCAUCGGCGGUUCAAGACUGAGUUUUCUAUCUCUUCAGUGCCUCUUUCAACAAUGAAGAUCAAACCAGGUUUUGUGCAAAUAUCUGCUGAGUGAACUACUUAUUUGAAAAUACAUCAUUGGUUAAUAUUCCCUUUUGCUCAUUGAAAUCUCAAAGACUACAGACCCCGCACAAGACAUUCUGACAUUCCCGUCUUUGAAAUGAAUGACAGCAAUGAUAAAUAUGGCUCACCUCCAGAGAUACAGAUCUCACAACUUCAUAUUUUUAAUAUAAAUUAUUAAUCUGAGUUUCCAGAAGCAGAGAGAGAUAAGACCCAUGAUAAUCAAGCCAUAAACAGAUGCAUUUACUAGCUGAAUGGCCAACAAUGGAAUUCAACAAAUCCAUCUUGAGCACGGCAGCCAGGAGUGUGGUGCAAUUCCAUUAGAUGAAAGAGAUCUACACAUUCAGAAGCACAUGAUUCUUCCCCCUUCCAUGAUUCCAGUGGCCAAUAGACAAACUACAAUAAAGCCAUGCCCUGACUGGAUGUGCCUAACAUUUGUCUGGUGCUUAAAGGAGUUGGCUGCAUGCGUGGGAUGGAGAAGGAUUCAACAUUUAAUGGCAGUUAGAAUCAAAUUUUUAACUCAAGAAGGCAGAAGGAAUCCACCUAAAUAAAUGUUGGAAAGUCACCAAAAAUAGUUCUCCAAGUCAGAAGCGGUGCAAAAGCUGCCUCAGCUCUUGGUGGAUUUUCAAUUUCUCCCAGCCAUCUCUGUUUCGCUAAAGGUUUCUGAAGACAGUGGGGGAAGCUUUUUUCUCCUCCCCAUCCUGAUCACUAGUAUGAGAAGGGGUGCUAAUGGACCAGCCUUGGCCUUGCAGAUGAAGAUGAUGAAGGAAGAAGAUGUAUAAAGAACCUCUGAAAGAGUCCCAGUUUUACAUUUCAAAGUCUUUUUCCUUCUGUUGUUUAUUGUGUUGGGUUGGAGUGGAGGAUAUUUGAUGGAGAAUUGAUUCUGAAACUUGCCAAAAUAUGGAUAAUACUUUGCUCCUUUUCCAUUGUGGGUUAUCACAAAGAAGAGUUUCACUUUUAGUCAUCUAUUUACAGUCUAGAAACAGGAACAAACCCAAACCAAGCAGAAAAACAGAAAUAACCAAGAUCAAAACGGAACUAAAUGAAAUUGAAAUGAAAAAGUACAAAGAUAAAUGAAACAAAAACCUGGUUUAUUGAAAAGUUAAAUAAAAUUGAUAAUUCAAUGGUUUUC
ensembl:lncRNA LINC01192 long intergenic non-protein coding RNA 1192